rnacentral:piRNA from 1 species
AGGGCAUCAAGGGACGACUGAAC